AUACAGGGCUAAUGUCUUGUAAUUGGAAUGAUGGUGACCCAAACCCUCACCAGAGUAGCAAUUGGAGGGCAAGUCUGGUGCCAGCAGCCGCGGUAAUUCCAGCUCCAAUAGCGUAUAUUAAACUUGUUGCAGUUAAAAAGCUCGUAGUUGAAUUUUAGCGUGUUCGAGUUUGCCAUUCGUUUGGCUUUUUCGAGUUCGCUUUUGGGUUUUCCCUUUUUACUUUGAGAAAAUUAGAGUGUUUCAAGCAGACUUUUGUCUUGAAUACUUCAGCAUGGAAUAAUAGAGUAGGACUUUGGUUCUAUUUUGUUGGU
rnacentral:rRNA from 1 species